GCCCUAAUAGCUAACUAUAUAUAGGUAGAUUAGUACAAGAGGUCGGGAUGAAGUCAAAUUAACUAUAAAGAAUCCAAAGAGGAUGAAUAAACCAAAUUUAUACUUUUUAUCUAAUGCAUUUACGCAAAGGUGCAUGUUCAUAGGCUAUGCAUGUUCAAAGUUAGGGGAGAGGGGGCUUUAUAAAGGAAAAGUCUAACUGCAGUCAUACGGAGGGCAUGCGCACGAACGACUUCCAACAUGGCAUCAAACGCACCGUUUUGGAGAAAAAUAAUUAAGGAUGUCAUUCUCAGUUUCUUCAGCUACACUAGGACAUAGCACAUUGAGUAUCGUCCCAGUGUGCAGUUGUGGGAAAGAAGCUGCACUUAGAAUAUCAAAUACUUCACGAAAUCCUGGACGAGCAUUCUAUGGGUGUCCAUUGUACAACAAAGAGGGGUUACCACAAUGCAAAUAUUUCAAGUGGGCAGAUGGUAAUGAAUAAAAAGAGCAAGCCCAUAUAAAGAGAGAAACAGAAAUAUUAAGAAAAGAUGAAGAACUUAAAAAGAGAGAAUAAGAGAUUAGGAAGAGGGAGUUGGCACUCCACAACGAUGAAACCCAACUUCGUAGGCAAGAAGCCGACAUGCGGCAUGCACCACACUACUUCGUGAGCAAUGACUAAUAUCUAUAGUUAUUUACUUGUAUUUAAUACGUUUAAAGUGAUGCAAACUUUGUAUUUGUAUUUGAUAGGAAUUUAACGUUUAUAAGUCCAAACUUUAAUGAAUGUACUUGAAACUUUAUUUGUUAAAAAGUCAUAUUCAAUCUUGAGACUUUA